rnacentral:rRNA from 1 species
CCAGCAGUCAAGAAUAUUAGUCAAUGCACAUGACUCAUUAAUUAAUAGUUAGUGUUGUCCAAAACUGGUGCCAGAAAACUUGAUAAGACCAAAGACAUAAACGUUAGUCAUUUUAAUCAGGGUGUGUAGACUACUUUAAAAGUUUAAUUCUUUGUAAUAGCUCUGUAAUCAUAUAUAUUUUUAUAUAUAGAACAAUAUAUAAAAAGAGACAUGUUUCAGUAAAGAAAUAAAUGAAUAAAAGCUAGAAUCAAAUUGAGAAUAAGCCGAAUAAUACUUAGAGUAGAGGUUAAAUCCGCAGAUACUAAGGGGAAUACUAACGAUGAAAGCUUUUAUCUACUAUUGAUUGACACUGAAAAACGAAGGUGAGAACAAGAAAUAAGAUUAGAUAUCCAGAUAUCUCUCACUGUCAAUGAUGAAUGGUGGUUUGUUAGUUUUUGUCAAAAACUAGUAACAAUGUUAACACAAUAACCAUUCUGUCUUGCGAAUACGGUUGCAAAACUGAAACCAAAAAAAUUAGUCGGUUUCGAAGCAAACGAAGUGAGCAUGUUAUUUAAUACGAGAGUACUUGCAUAUCCAAUUUAGUUCUUAGUUAAUUCUAAGUUCUUUUAAAUAAGAAAAACUGAUUGAGUAAUUUUUAUAAUAUUUAAAAAUUCGUUUACA